GACAGAGGUCUCGAGCGUUAGGCGGAAUCACUGGGCUUAAAGCGUGUGUAGGCGGAUGUCUAAGUCCUUUGUGAAAUCCCACGGCUUAACCGUGGAAUUGCUUGGUAUACUGGAUGUCUUGAGCCAGCUAGGGGCAACCGGAACAAAUGGUGGAGCGGUGAAAUGCGUAGAUAUCAUUUGGAACGCCAAUGGUGAAAACAGGUUGCUGGGGCUGUGCUGACGCUGAGACACGAAAGCGUGGGGAGCAAACAGG
rnacentral:rRNA from 1 species